CCUACGGGUGGCAGCAGUGAGGAAUAUUGGUCAAUGGGCGCAAGCCUGAACCAGCCAAGUCGCGUGAGGGAAGACGGUCCUAUGGAUUGUAAACCUCUUUUGUCGGGGAGCAAAAGACGCCACGCGUGGCGUUCCGAGAGUACCCGAAGAAAAAGCAUCGGCUAACUCCGUGCCAGCAGCCGCGGUAAUACGGAGGAUGCGAGCGUUAUCCGGAUUUAUUGGGUUUAAGGGGUGCGCAGGCGGACGAUCAAGUCAGCGGUAAAAUUGAGGGGCUCAACCUCGUCGAGCCGUUGAAACUGGGUGUCUUGAGUGAGCGAGAGGUAUGCGGAAUGCGUGGUGUAGCGGUGAAAUGCAUAGAUAUCACGCAGAACUCCGAUUGCGAAGGCAGCAUACCGGCGCUCAACUGACGCUGAUGCACGAAAGUGUGGGUAUCGAACAGGAUUAGAUACCCGAGUAGUC
rnacentral:rRNA from 1 species